CUCAGAUUGAACGCUGGCGGCAGGCUUAACACAUGCAAGUCGAGCGGGGAAAAGUAGCUUGCUACUUAACUUAGCGGCGGACGGGUGAGUAAUACUUAGGAAUCUGCCUAUUAGUGGGGGACAACAUUUCGAAAGGAAUGCUAAUACCGCAUACGUCCUACGGGAGAAAGCAGGGGAUCACUUGUGACCUUGCGCUAAUAGAUGAGCCUAAGUCGGAUUAGCUAGUUGGUGGGGUAAAGGCCUACCAAGGCGACGAUCUGUAGCGGGUCUGAGAGGAUGAUCCGCCACACUGGGACUGAGACACGGCCCAGACUCCUACGGGAGGCAGCAGUGGGGAAUAUUGGACAAUGGGGGGAACCCUGAUCCAGCCAUGCCGCGUGUGUGAAGAAGGCCUUUUGGUUGUAAAGCACUUUAAGCGAGGAGGAGGCUACUCUAGUUAAUACCUAGGGAUAGUGGACGUUACUCGCAGAAUAAGCACCGGCUAACUCUGUGCCAGCAGCCGCGGUAAUACAGAGGGUGCGAGCGUUAAUCGGAUUUACUGGGCGUAAAGCGUGCGUAGGUGGCCAAUUAAGUCAAAUGUGAAAUCCCCGAGCUUAACUUGGGAAUUGCAUUCGAUACUGGUUGGCUAGAGUAUGGGAGAGGAUGGUAGAAUUCCAGGUGUAGCGGUGAAAUGCGUAGAGAUCUGGAGGAAUACCGAUGGCGAAGGCAGCCAUCUGGCCUAAU
rnacentral:rRNA from 1 species